rnacentral:rRNA from 1 species
GAACGCUCAGAUGGAUGCCACACAUGCAAGUCGAACGGUUAUACCGGACUUCGGUCUGGUGGCGAGUGGCGAACGGGUGAGUAAUGUAUCGGAACGUGCCUAGUAGCGGGGGAUAACUACGCGAAAGCGUAGCUAAUACCGCAUACGCCCUUCGGGGGAAAGCGGGGGACCUUCGGGCCUCGCACUAUUAGAGCGGCCGAUAUCGGAUUAGCUAGUUGGUGGGGUAACGGCUCACCAAGGCGACGAUCCGUAGCUGGCUUGAGAGGACGACCAGCCACACUGGGACCGAGACACGGCCCAGACUCCUACGGGAGGCAGCAGUGGGGAAUUUCGGGACAAUGGGGAAACCCUGAUCCAGCCAUCCCGCGUGUGCGAUGAAGGCCUUCGGGUUGUAAAGCACUUUUGCGGCAGGAAAGAACAUGACGGAUAACACCCGUGCAACUGACGGUACCGUGGUACAUUAAGCACCGGCUAACUACGCCAGCAGCCUGUAAUACGUAGGUGCAAGCGUUAAUCGGAAUUACUGGGCGCAAGCGGGCGCAGGCGGUUCUGAAAGAAAGAUGUGAAUCCCAGAGCUUAACUUUGGAACUGCAUUUUUAACUACCGAGCUAGAGUGUGUCAGAGGGAGGUGGAAUUCCGCGUAGCAGUGAAAUGCGUAGAUAUGCGGAGGAACACCGAUGGCGAAGGCAGCCUCCUGGGAUAACACUGACGCUCAUGCACGAAAGCGUGGGGAGCAAACAGGAUUAGAUACCCUGGUAGUCCACGCCCUAAACGAUGUCAACUAGCUGUUGGGGCCUUCGCCUGGUAGCGCAGCUAACGCGUGAAGUUGACCGCCUGUGGAGCAUGGUCGCAAGAUUAAACUCAAAGGAAUUGACGGACCUGCACAAGCGGUGGAUGAUGUGGAUUAAUUCGAUGCAACGCGAAAAACCUUACCUACCCUGAUACGGCUCCUGGGUUGGAAUCCCGAAGAGAUUUGGGAGUGCUCGCAAGAGAACCGAACACAGGUGCUGCAUGGCUGUCGUCAGCUCGUGUCGUGAGAUGUUGGGUUAAGUCCUGGCAACGAGCGCAACCCUUGUCAUUAGUUGCCACGAGUGAAGACUGACGAGACUGCUGGUGACAAACCGAGAAGGUGGGGAUGACGUCAAGUCCGGUGGCCUUUAUGUAGGGCUUCACCGGCCAUACAAUUGUCGGACAGAGGGUCGCCAACCCGCGAGGGGGAGCCAAUCCCAGAAACCCGAUCGUAGUCCUGAUCGCAGGCCCGCAAAACUCGACCGCGGAAGUCGGAAUCGCUAGUAAUCGCGGACUGUAUGUCGCAGAAUACGUUCCUGGCCUGCACACACCGCCCGUCACACCAUGGGAGUGGGUUUACCAGAAGUAGUUAGCCUCAACCGUAAGGAGGGCGAUUACCACGGUAGGAUUCAUGACUGGGGUGAAGUCGUAACAAGGUAG